rnacentral:tRNA from 1 species
GGGCGAGUAGCUCAGCGGUAGAGCGCCUCCUUUACACGGAGGUGGUCGGGGGUUCGAACCCCUCCUCGCCCACCA